AUGCAAGUCGAACGAGAGAGAAGGAGCUUGCUUCUUCGAUCGAGUGGCGAACGGGUGAGUAACGCGUGAGGAACCUGCCUCAAAGAGGGGGACAACAGUUGGAAACGACUGCUAAUACCGCAUAAGCCCACGGGUCGGCAUCGACCUGAGGGAAAAGGAGUGAUCCGCUUUGAGAUGGCCUCGCGUCCGAUUAGCUAGUUGGUGAGGUAAUGGCCCACCAAGGCGACGAUCGGUAGCCGGACUGAGAGGUUGAACGGCCACAUUGGGACUGAGACACGGCCCAGACUCCUACGGGAGGCAGCAGUGGGGAAUAUUGCACAAUGGGGGAAACCCUGAUGCAGCGACGCCGCGUGGAGGAAGAAGGUCUUCGGAUUGUAAACUCCUGUUGUUGAGGAAGAUAAUGACGGUACUCAACAAGGAAGUGACGGCUAACUACGUGCCAGCGGCCGCGGUAAAACGUAGGUCACAAGCGUUGUCCGGAAUUACUGGGUGUAAAGGGAGCGCAGGCGGGAAGACAAGUUGGAAGUGAAAUCUAUGGGCUCAACCCAUAAACUGCUUUCAAAACUGUUUUUCUUGAGUAGUGCAGAGGUAGGCGGAAUUCCCGGUG
rnacentral:rRNA from 1 species